CCUUGCUGAAACUCUUAUGUUGUGAUGAAGUCCUUAAAACUAUAAAGUAAUCGAUAAAAGAAGAUUUAUCGUAUCAUUCUUAAAUAUAUUCGUGACCAAAUAAUACGUCAUUAAAGGAUGAUGAUGUUUAUCAAGUGAAGAUCGUUGUAAGCCAUAUAGGUUGGUUGCCUUCUUAACCAAGGAGUGUAGAGACACUGGUAUGAUAUACAGGUGAGCUGUAGGAAUACAUCAUCACUGAACGAGUGACUCACUUGCUGAGCACUCUAC
rnacentral:lncRNA from 1 species